AUUCUGGAAACAAGCUUGAGAAGAGAGGUGGCCUCCGCCUUGCAGUAGUGUUUUUUAUACAUGUUAACUGGCAGACGUGAUGCUGUGUGUUCAGCAAAUCCUGUUUCCUUACUCCUCCGACAUGCAUCUAGACUACAUUUCCCAGCCUUCCCUGCAAGGAGAGUGUCACAUGACUGAGUCUGACCAAUGGAAUGUGGGAGAAGUCGUCUCUUACAGGCAAAUAUGUGGUCCGUUCAAAGGACUAUCCCUUGUAAGAGUGGUUUCUCUGCACUGGGGGGAUCUCCCUCCUAUUUCCUUUUGAAGAUGGUGUUUGGCUGUGUGGAGAAGCUUUCAUGGGCCGGGAAAGGAGUCUCUUGCCCUACCUGCCAUCGCUGGACCUGCUCAGGAGUGGUGGGUCUGGUCUACCCUGGUCUCUGGGCACCGCAUCCACGUUCUCUGAGGCUGACUGGACUCUGCUUCGCCCUGAAAACUUCCAAUUCACAGCCAAUCUUCUUCCCAUAUGUUGUUUUUUUCUGUGGCUGCUCUAAUAAAGUCCCACAAACCCGGUGGUUGAAAACCACAGAAAUGUGUUCUUUCACAGUCCCAGAGGCCAGAAGUCUGAAACCAACGUGCGGGCAGUGCCGUGCCUCCUCUGAAACCUCUAGCGGAAGAUCCUUUCUUGCCUUUCCGGCUUUAGCCCUAGAUUUACAAAUGCAUCACUCCACUCUCUGCCUCCAAUGUCACACGGCAUUUUCCUCUUCUUGUAAGGACACCACUCAUAUUGGAUUAAGCCCCACCUAAUGACCUCGUCUUAAUUAUAUCUGCAAGGACCCUAUUUCCAAAUAAGGUCACAUUCACAGAUACUGGGGGUUAGGGCUGCAGCAUAUCUUUUUGGGGGACACAUUUCAACCAUAAGACUAUCCCAUUCAGCUCCUGGGUUUCCUCCACUCAGCUGCAGGGGUUGGGGGGUCUCUGUGAGACUGUCUUCAGCCCCUCUGCCUGGGGACUGGGGACCCUCAGUCAUUUCAGUCUGCUGCAGCCUGGCCACACUGGGUGCAACGUCAGGCCUAAGGUGAGCCUUGCAGACCCCUUAGGAUGCAUCCUGGGGACACAGGCACCAGCUCCGAUGUCCUCAGAUUCCCCAAACCUAUCUGAAUCUUUCCACUGCCCCCAGGCCCCUCACACCUGACCUCCAGCUUCCCUUCCUCUCCUCCUGCCCUGAAAGGGUCUUCCACUCCCCGCUGCUGUCUAGCAGGGACUCUCCUUGUGUCACAGUCCCCUUCCUCCCUAGUCAGAAAUGCAGAUGGUAUCCACACGGCUCUUCAUGGGACCAAACGCUUCAUGGUUUAAAUUUUAUGGUAGGAGAGAUGCUGGGGAGAGAGAAAAUGUACUGAAAUUAGCGACAGGGGAAACA